CGGACGUUGAUCGUCAUAAUUUUGUACAUUCAAGUGGUACGACCGAAAUAAAACUAUCAGAGACGAAUUAAAUGUUCAUUUCUUGAUCUCUUAAAAUUUCAAUGCCAUGAAGAGUACCCAAAGCUAAGUGAUUCUCAAUUAACAGAAAUUCAAAUGGGUAAAACGUGUAACAGAAAUCGACUGCAACACGUCGUUACCCAUGCGACGAUUCGACGGUUGCAAGUGGUAAAGAGCGUGUGUGUGUUUGAAUAAAUGCACGCGGCGGCUGCGGAUCACUCAGAUACGUGAGAAACCGCAAGUAAAAGAGUGUGCGCGUCGCCGUCAAAACUUAACGGCCACAACCGCUGCCGGCGUGCCACGUUGUGUGCAUUUGCGCUCCGAACCGGAGUCUACAGUAACGUACAGGGAGACUGCCAGUUUUACAGCAUGGAACGCCAAAGUCGAAUUUUCCACUCGUUUUAUUUGCACAACAACCAAUUUGGGGCAUAACGUUAUUUUUUUCAAGUAAAACGGUGGAAAUGUGUUUUUCUAUAGAUUCCGAAUGUACGCAAAUGGAAUUCUAAAUUUUAAUGUGCAUAUAAAUACACGUUUAUAAACUGUAUAUGCCUACUUACAAUAAUGAUAAUAAUCAUAUUAUGCACUUUGAUAUGUUUCUACAGCGUAGAAUGUACACGCAACGCAUCUAAACGCAAACGGUAUUUCCCACCGUCCCUUGGGUUUGUUUUAGUCUUUAUUAUUAAUGAUAAAAAGUCGGUUUAACUACAACCGUUGAAUUUCACAAGAAAAAACUAUUUUUACACUGUAUAACGGUACCGUAGAUAUUUUUAGUAGCUUACUUUAAUAGUUUUCCUAAUUUAACAAUGUGCUUAUGUAAUAAUCGAUUACCAGAAACGCUUAUAUUAUUUUUGUCACAAGGAUAUCCCUGGCUACUAUUAGGGACUACGCCAACAUAGAAUAAAUAAAGCUUGUUCUGAAGUCCAAUGUUAGAUGUUUAUUGGACGACUACCCAAGACGCGGUCGUGACUAUUUAUACAAUAACACGGUUUUUGUAUUAACUGUGUUAAUUCGUUUUGUGUUAUUAAAAGUAUUUAUUAAUUUUAAGCUUAAGUAUUCACUUUAUUUCUUUGGACCUGAGUCUUAUCGUUUCUGUGAACCAUAUUACAACUGACACGUGAAGAACCUCGUCCGCGAUAGUUCGACGCUAUAUGACAACUUGAAGUUUGACAGAUGAACGGGUAGAGGAAAGAGGCGCGUUGAAAUGGAGAACCAUAGUCGAGUCUCGGAAUAAAUGAUGAUACUAGAGGCUUUGAUGUUUGUACACUUCUCUUUAAAAACUUUUGAGUGGUAAUAAUGUCUCGUCAACGGUUAAUAUAUUUAAUAUAAUCUACAUGAAUGAAUAAUGAAAAAAUUAUAUUAUGUACAUGAAAUAGGCGUCGCCCAUAAAUGACUGUACGGUGAUAAAUAAUGUUACGCUACAUGUCACUUUAAAACUUAAGCGUUCAAGAUAUUUUACAUUAAACAAUUAAAACCAAUGAUAAUCUUUUGUUGAUCUCGAACACGCAUUGAAUUAAAUCACAUUUCAUUUCAAUUUCCAGCUUGAAAAUAAUUGGCAUACAUUUUACCUCGAGUAACUAUAAUAACAACAUGAAAUUAUUUAAUUUCAAUACAGUAAAUUAUGUUUCGACGAAAUUUAUAACACGAGUAUUAAACAAUUAAGUUUCAAGAAAUUUCUAUAAGAUAUAUUUAAGUUUGUAAAAAUCCAUAAAAACCGAAGUUUUUCAACGAUAUUUCCAAAGAGUCGAUUUAACUAUAUGCGAUGUGUAUCUAGUUGAAAAUAUUACUUUGAAAAAUUGAAAUUUUUCCAUCGUUCACUGUAAAUGAUGAAAAUUCUCAAAAAUUUUGAUUUAUAACAACGGUAAAUUACGACAUUUUUUAAACUUUUUUUCUUAAUACUGUCAUAAUUUUUUGAAAAAUGAACGAAUCAAAAUAUUCCCUGUUUGCCUCAAUGUGAAAACGACCCUCAAAGUUAAAAAAGCUAUUUUUGUGUAAAAAAAAACACUAUUUUUUGAUUAUUAUUAUUUUCUACUUUUUUCUACUUUUUAUUAUUUUUAAUUAUGAAUACCUAUCAUUAUAUUCAAAUACUCUAAAAAGGGUUUAAUACUGGUACCUAAAUACCUCGUUUUAAAUAUAUUUUUAUUUUAUUGAUAAUAUUCUUAUCUUUUAUAAAUGAUCAAUAAUUGUCCGUGAUAUUACUCGCACAACAGGUUUCUAAAUAAAUACAAUAUUUUAUUAGAAUGAUCUUUCUACCAUGUUCUAUGGUGUUAUGUUACCGUCUAAAUUAUGGAGAAAUCUGGUCACAAAUGAGGAUACACGAGUGUCCACAAAGAACAGCUGGAUUUGUUUUAUUAAAUAAUACAAAUAUAAUAAUAAUAAUA